rnacentral:rRNA from 1 species
GACGAACGCUGGCGGCGUGCUUAACACAUGCAAGUCGAACGGAAAGGCCCUGCUUUUGUGGGGUGCUCGAGUGGCGAACGGGUGAGUAACACGUGAGUAACCUGCUCUUGGCUUUGGGAUAACUUCAGGAAACUGGGGCUAAUACCGGAUAGGAGCCCCUGUUGCAUGGUGGGGGUUGGAAAGUUUCGGCGGGUGGGGAUGGACUCGCGGCUUAUCAGCUUGUUGGUGGGGUAGUGGCUUACCAAGGCUGUGACGGGUAGCCGGCCUGAGAGGGUGACCGGCCACAUGGGGACUGAGAUACGGAGCAGACUCCUACGGGAGGCAGCAGUGGGGAAUAUUGCACAGUGGGCGGAAGCCUGAUGCAGCAACGCCGCGUGCGGGAUGACGGCCUUCGGGUUGUAAACAGCUUUCGCCUGUGACGAAGCGGGAGUGACGGUAAUGGGUAAAGAAGCACCGGCUAACUACGUG